rnacentral:rRNA from 1 species
UACGUAGGGACCAAGCGUUGUUCGGAUUUACUGGGCGUAAAGGGCGCGUAGGCGGCGCGGUAAGUCACGUGUGAAAUCCCCCGGCUCAACCGGGGAAUUGCGCGUGAUACUGGCGGACUCGAGGCGGGUAGGGGUGAGCGGAACUCCAGGUGGAGCGGUGAAAUGCGUAGAUAUCUGGAGGAACACCGGUGGCGAAAGCGGCUCACUGGACCUGAUCUGACACUGAGGUGCGAAAGCCAGGGGAGCAAACGGG